rnacentral:lncRNA from 1 species
UGUGGGCCUUGUACUAAGUCCUUCGCUUAUAUUUUUUUUCAUAGAAAGGUGUUAAAAUCAUCGAUAGAGAGGAAAAGCAAGAAACAGAGUACAAAUCAUGGUUUGCACUGUUGACAGACAAAAGGUCUUACGGAGACAGUCCCCUUUCUUCUACCACGUAACUCCACUCUACAUUCUGCAGCAUCCUUGGUCUCCAUUCACACACAACUCAUGUUCCCACGGUUGCACGUUUCCAUCGGAAGAUGCUAAUGGGAUUCACAGCUCUUCUCAGAAAUAUGGAAGCCUAACACCGAAGACAGAAGCAGAAACGACUGUGACUGGGGCUGUUACUUAGAUUAGUUCCAAAAGAACCCAAGUUGGGAGCUGAGAUAAUGAAUAAACUGUGCGGAAUCCAUUUGCUAAUACCUGUGAAAGCUUAAUGGCCACAGACCAAUGCUAGGUUAUUAUACCAGUUUAACCAGCAGAGGUCUCUGUUUUACUGAUCUUCAUUGAAGGCAGGGUGGGGGAAACAAUCCCGGGAGUUGCCCAUUUUUAUUAUCCCUCUUUUGAAGUCUCUUUUCAAAAACAAACAUGUAAAUAAGGAAUCACUUGGCCAAAGUAUUUGUGAACACUGGAUCUGGUUGCUCAGUCCAGAUGAGCAACAAGAUAAAUAAAUAAAAUGCUGGAAUAUGGAAUCAUCUCUUCAAUGAUUUCAUAUUCAUCCCUAGCUGUUCACUAGCUUAGAAGCUUCACAACAACUGUACCAGCAGAGGGUAAAACAUGGAUUGGCCCAUAAAACAACACAUACAACUCAUCAUGACAAUGAAGAGAAUGCAAGCUGAAUCCCCAGAAGGUAGAGUGGAAGGGGUCAGUUAGUUGAUCACCCAACACCAGGCCAUAACACUUGCUUGGGUCCUCCUUCAAAACCAGAAAUAAAUCAGUUGUGACCAGCACGUGCUCUGAUGGUACGAGGACUUCACAUCUCUUUUACUUACUGAGAGCAAAGCUUUAAAAAGUUGUUUACACUGUGUAUGUUGAGCAGUGGGAUUCCCCAGUGGCUCAGUGGUAAAGAAUCUGCCUGCAGUACAGGAGACCUGGGUUCGAUCCCUGGGUCCAGAAGAUCCCCUGGAAGCAGGCAUGGCAACCUACUCCAGUACUCCUGCCUGGAGAAUUCCAUGGAUAGAGGAGUCUGGUGGGCUACGGUCUGCAGGGUCGCAAAGAGUCAGUCAGACGUGACUGAAGUGACUUAGCAAGCAUGCUGAACACCCUCUCAAAUAAAUACAAAGGUGUGAGCCUGCAAUUUUUUCCCCCACACCUAUUGGAAUGAUCCCAGUAUGAGACUAAGGGUUUUGACUAGAAUGAGACAAAAGGAGGAAGUGAGAGAGUUUCACUGAAGCUUAAUUGAAGUCUCUCUUCUGUUAUCCAAUGGUUCUCCAUCGCUUUUGAUGUAAAGUCCAAAAUUAAAAGGCCAUCACCAUGUAGACUUGCCCAUCACUCCAGUCCAAGCACUUAGCCCUGCUGGCUACAUACCUGCCACAAACACCUUCUUUCACAUCAUCAAAAGCCUUCCUGGAUUUGGGGCCUUGGGCAGGGCUCUGCCUGGACCACUCUUCUUUCAACUGGCCCCCACCACUACGUGAGACCCUGUGUUCCAAACAGCAUCCUACAGGGCAGCCCCUACGACACAGGGGGCUGCAGAAGCACACACAGAAGGAUGGAUUUUUAAAGGCUUGUUUCUUUUUGGCAAAUACAAGGCGGCCUGGGGCAAGUGUGUGGACUUCUGCUUCCAGUCUGAUCCCUCAACUGGACACCUCUGUGUGGAGCACAGAGCAGAAGCUCUGAGGUCCCUUCAUUGCACUUAUUGUUCAGAACACUCACAGGUAACUGUGGUUGGGAUUCCUUGUCCUAGCUUCCUCUAGCUUCAUGAGGGCGAGGCUCCUAUCUGUCAUGUUGAAGACACAAAGCUUGGCCCUUAGAAGAGGCUCCAUGAUAUUCAGGCAGCAGUGAAGCAGUGUUUAGAACCACCAAGCAACCAUUACAUUGUACCUUCACAUGCCUUUUUCUGGUAAAAUAAUAAAUGUUCAGUGUUCAGGGGACUUCCAGUGCAGGGGAAGCAGGUUCGAUCUCAGGUAGAGGAACUAAGAUCCUGCAUGCUGUACCACAACGAAGACCAGAUGCAGCCAAAUAAAUUAACUAAUUUAAAAAAUACUCUCAAAAAAAAUAAAUAAAUAAAAAAUACUCUCCUCUUUUGCUAUAUUUAAAAUGGAUAACCAAGAAGGACCUACUGUAGAGCACGUGGAACUCUGCUCGAUGUUAUGUGGCAGCCUGGAUGGGAGGGGAGUUUGGAGGAGAAUGGAUUACAUGUAUAUGUGUGGCUGAGGCCCUUCACUAUUCUCCUAAAACUAUCACAACCUUGUUUGUUAAUCGGCUAUACCCCAAUACAAAAUAAAAAGGUUAAAUAAAUAAAUAAAUAAAUGUUCAGUGUUCAGGCUGCACUCUUGAACUGCUAUUUUCCUUCGACUCUGGUGAAUAUGUGGUUUGUGGCCAAAAAAUCAAGAAUCUAGCUUCCUGGAAAAUAACCUGAUCCACAGGGAUGGAAAGCGUGAUCUGGACUAGGAAACAGGAAUCUCUGAAUUGUAAGCCAGAAGGAACCUAUAAAUCAUCAUGUUUAACUUUUCCACUUUACAGGAAAUCAUGGAUUCAAAUGUCCUCAUCUGUCGGAUGAAGACGGAACUUGGUGAUCUCCCAUCCCGGGUAUUGUGAGAUUUCUAAGUUCUGCCCCAGGUCAGUCCCAUGGAGAAUGACAGCUCAAGACUGGUCUACUCACUUGAAAUUUAAAACAUUUCCCCAGCACUAGGUGCUAAGUAAGUAAACUACAGCAGGGAGUUGAUUUGUUGAAUUUCAGACAGAAUCCAUAACUGUGCCAAAGUUCAAGGAAUGUGAGGUUUGGGAUAAUAUUACCAAUGGGAUCCCAUGUGGCAAAAAGAUGGAAUAGGCUCAAUUUUCCAUGGCUUGUUAAGUUACCCCUGAGUUAAUAGGAAUGAUAUUUAUACCUCGCUGAUGUGCCCUGGAAGCAAAAUCAUAUACCCAAACUCACACACUUCUCAUAACUCAUUCAUGGAUUUAACAAUACCUGAAACUAAAUAGAAAAUGGAGAGGACAUGAAUCUAGAAAUGCCUUGUUCCUCCUAAUGUCUGAAAAGAGACUGUAUGAGACUAAGGGUUUUGACUAGAAUGAGACAAAAGGAGGAAGUGAGAGAGUUUCACUGAAGCUUAAUUGAAGUCUCUCUUCUGUUAUCCAAUGGUUCUCCAUCGCUUUUGAUGUAAAGUCCAAAAUUAAAAGGCCAUCACCAUGUAGACUUGCCCAUCACUCCAGUCCAAGCACUUAGCCCUGCUGGCUACAUACCUGCCACAAACACCUUCUUUCACAUCAUCAAAAGCCUUCCUGGAUUUGGGGCCUUGGGCAGGGCUCUGCCUGGACCACUCUUCUUUCAACUGGCCCCCACCACUACGUGAGACCCUGUGUUCCAAACAGCAUCCUACAGG